GGGCGUGUGGUGUAACGGACAGCAUGUUGGGAUGCGGUCCCCUCGAUCCGGGUUCGACUCCCGGCACGCCCUCCA
rnacentral:tRNA from 1 species